GCGGGAGUAGCUCAGGGGUAGAGCACAACCUUGCCAAGGUUGGGGUCGCGGGUUCGAAUCCCGUUUCCCGCU